AAUACGUAGGGGGCGAGCGUUGUCCGGAUUUAUUGGGCGUAAAGAGCUCGUAGGCGGUUUGGUAAGUCACGGGUGAAAUCUCCACGCUCAACGUGGAGGCGCCCCGUGAGACUGCUAUGACUAGAGUCCGGUAGAGGAGUGUGGAAUUCCCGGUGUAGCGGUGAAAUGCGCAGAGAUCGGGAGGAACACCCGUAGCGAAGGCGGCACUCUGGGCCGGUACUGACGCUCAGGAGCGAAAGCGUGGGGAGCAAACAGGA
rnacentral:rRNA from 1 species